AAGUACUCCUAACACAUCAAGCAAUACAUCUGUAUAGCAGUAAAGGACACUUUUCUAUGCUACAAAGACACUUGAAAUACAUCAAGUAAUACAACUGUGUAACAGUGAAUGACACUAUGCUACACUAUUAAUAAUUACAUACUCCUAAUAUGUCAAGUAAUACAUCUGAAUAACAGUGAAGGACACUAUGCUACACU